rnacentral:misc_RNA from 1 species
AAGUCGUAACAAGGUUUCCGUAGGUGAACCUGCGGAAGGAUCAUUAGUGAAUUUUAGCGUACCUGUUUAACCAGGGCGUGACCUCUCACUUUUCAAACUCUGUGCACUUAUUUGGUCGGCAAGGAAAGGGUGAAUCGGCGUUUGCGCGCCUUUCUCGCUUGGAACUUGCGGCUCACUUUACUAAACAUUAAAAGUCAUUGUAUGUCAAAGAAAUUUAAUAACAAAAAAACUUUCAACAACGGAUCUCUUGGCUCUC